AUGGUUGCCCGCUGGGGCGACAAAUCGGUCACCCCCUUCAUCUCCUUCUUUGCCAAUCGCCGACCUCCCUUUCGCCGUCUGGUUUCGAUUAAGUUUGUGGCAGUCUUCCCACCACUCCGGGUAGCCGAUCACUUGAAAGCAGGUUGGGUGACUGAUCGUCUCUGGUUUUGACGUUUGCCGGAUUUUGGUCGAAAGUUUGGGAAAGGUAUUGGAACGAUGAUGAGAAUUUUCUGAGUUCCAACAAUCGUUUUUUUUAUUUUUGGAUUUAGGAUCGAACUCUUGCUCGUGAUAUCAUAUUGAAUUGUAUUGGGGAAAAUGUAUCAAUUGUAUUGAAUGAAUAAUUACGUUUA